rnacentral:lncRNA from 1 species
CUUGCUGUGUUGAGUCGAGUCAGGGGGAUAAGGGUUGACGGUGGUGCGACUGGUUGUUACCAUCGGCGGCGACCCCGUCGUCUGUCGCCGGAAGUUUCAGAGAGGGAGUGGGAGUGGUGUGCUGACGGUGGCGGCGAGGAGUCGUCAUCGUCGCCUGAAAUUGGAGAGGGGGCGCAGCAACAGUGGCUUCUCGCUGCUGACUCACCGGAGUUCCAGAGAGGGAUCGCGGCGGCGCGAUUUGGUGAGGAAGAGGGAGAUGGUGGUGGUUGUCGUUGCAGUCGCCGGAGAGAGAGAUCGAGGGAGGCGGCGGCGUCGGCGUCCGUCGUCGCCAAGGGGGAGAGGGAGAACAGAGGCUGUUCCCGCUGGGUUCGGUGAACAGAGGGGAGAACGGCGGCGACCAUGGGUUACUGUCACCGGGAGGUUUGAGUGAGAGCAGAGGGAGGCCAGGGCGCGGCGGCCCUGCCGCUGUCGCUCGGCCACGGACGGAGGGAGAGAGAGUUACGAACAGUUGAGAAUUCGAGGGAGAAGUGGCCGGAGCGACGUUGUCGCCGGGCACGAUGGAGUAGCAGCAGAGGUUUAGCCUGUCGCUGCUCGCUUCCCCGGCGAGCUCCGGCGGCGGUGAAACUUCGAGAGGAGUCGAGAGAGAGAGAUGAAUGAUCGCGUCUGUGUAUGCGUGAGUGUGCCGCUGCGCAACUACUAUGUGUGUGUGAGUGUUGUGCGACAGAUGGGGGAGAAGAAGGGGGGAGGAAGACUUUGGGCUAGGUUUGGAUAGUGGGCCGAGUGUUGGGCUCUUUUU